rfam:Tncultured methanogenic archaeon RC-I complete genome
GCUGGGAUAGCCAAGUCCGGUCAACGGCGGCAGACUCAAGAUCUGCUCCUGCAGAGGUUCCUCGGUUCGAAUCCGGGUCCCAGCA